rnacentral:tRNA from 1 species
UUGACUCGCUGGUCGAUGGUCAGGCCGGCCCGGUAGAGGCCGUAGGCGACCCGGCGUUCCGCCGCCGCCGCGAGUUGGUCC